rnacentral:rRNA from 1 species
CCUACGGGUGGCAGCAGUGGGGAAUAUUGCACAAUGGGGGGAACCCUGAUGCAGCGACGCCGCGUGGGUGAGGAAGUACUUCGGUAUGUAAAGUCCUAUCAGCAGGGAAGAAAAUUACGGUCCCUGACUAAUACGCCCCGGCUAACUCCGUGCCAGCAGCCGCGGUAAUACGGAGGGUGCGAGCGUUAAUCGGACUUACUGGGCGUAACGCGCUCGUAGGUGGUAUGUCAAGUCACGGGUGAAAUCCUCGCGCUCAAGGUGGGAACUGCCUUUGAAACUGGCAAACUGGAGUGUGUGAGAGGAGAGUGGAAUUCCAGGUGUAGGAGUGAAAUCCGUAGAUAUCUGGAGGAACAACAGUGGCGAAGGCGACUAUCUGGGACAUAACUGACGCUGAGGAGCGAAAGCGUGGGUAGCAAACAGGAUUAGAUACCCUAGUAGUC